CACGUAGUUAGCCGUCCCUUUCUGGUAAGAUACCGUCACAGUGUGAACUUUCCACUCUCACACUCGUUCUUCUCUUACAACAGAGCUUUACGAUCCGAAAACCUUCUUCACUCACGCGGCGUUGCUCGGUCAGACUUCCGUCCAUUGCCGAAGAUUCCCUACUGCUGCCUCCCGUAGGAGUCUGGGCCGUGCCUCAGUCCCAGUGUGGCCGAUCACCCUCUCAGGUCGGCUAUGUAUCGUCGCCUUGGUGAGCCGUUACCCCACCAACUAGCUAAUACAACGCAGGUCCAUCUGGUAGUGAUGCAAUUGCACCUUUUAAGCAAAUGUCAUGCAACAUCUACUCUUAUGCGGUAUAGCUAUCGUUUCAAUAGUUACUCCCCCGCUACCAGCAGUUACCUACGCGUUACUCACCGUUCGCAACUCAUCCGGAGAAGCAAGCUCCUCCUUCAGCGUUCUACUUGCAUGUAUUAGGCACGCCGCCAGCGUCGUCUCG
rnacentral:rRNA from 1 species